rnacentral:rRNA from 1 species
UGAGGAACAUGACCUUCGGCGGGGGAUAGCCGGCCCAACGGUCGGGUAAUACCGCGUACGACCACAUGGGGACAUCCCUGAGUGGUGAAAGCAGCAAUGCGCCGAUGGAGUGCCUCGCGGCCUAUCAGCUAGUUGGUGAGGUAACGGCUCACCAAGGCAACGACGGGUAGCUGGUCUGAGAGGAUGGCCAGCCACAUUGGGACUGAGACACGGCCCAGACCUCGUACGGGAG